UCGGGUGAGAGACCUAGAACUGCUCUAGGAUUUUUGAGUGAGGAAAAAAUCAAAGAGAAGAGAGUCUUCAUCUACCUUUCCUCCACCAUCCAGCAUCCUUCUUUGAUCCAUCUUUGAUAUCAAAAAGAUCCAAAGUGAUCGAAGAAGGAGAUCAAAUCAGAUCCACCAUCAAAAGCCAACUGCAUGAGUUAGCACUCCCAUGAAGGGUUGAUCGGUCUAAGGGCUUCGUGUGGACCAUCCAUAGAGGUUGGAU
rnacentral:lncRNA from 1 species